CCUUUGACGUUAGCGGCGUACGGGUGAGUAACACGUGGGUAACCUACCUAUAAGACUGGGAUAACUUCGGGAAACCGGAGCUAAUACCGGAUAAUAUUUCGAACCGCAUGGUUCGAUAGUGAAAGGUGGUUUUGCUAUCACUUAUAGAUGGACCCGCGCCGUAUUAGCUAGUUGGUAAGGUAACGGCUUACCAAGGCGACGAUACGUAGCCGACCUGAGAGGGUGAUCGGCCACACUGGAACUGAGACACGGUCCAGACUCCUCGGGAGGCAGCAGGC
rnacentral:rRNA from 1 species